GGUUGUGUAUGAUGAGAUCUUAUGUCUAAAACAGUUAUCCCUGUCUGAUAAAUCUUGAUGUUUGCAUUUGUUCUGACUCAGAC
rfam:Helianthus annuus linkage group 5, whole genome shotgun sequence.